UGUUUUAAAAAUAUUUAAAAAUAAAAGUUGACUCUAUAAGGAGUAUUGUGAAAUAGAGCUGUUGUGAAAUAAAGCAGAAGGAAUGGUAAAGAAUGACUAAAACUGAAAAGAGGCUGUUGAGUUUUGAAAUUAAGAGAUAUUUGGUGAUCUUAGUAAAAGCAAUUUCAGUGGACUGGUAAGGGAUAGAAAAAUGAUUGUAAUCAACUGAGGUGAAUAAAAAAGUUAAGAUGAAGAGUAUAAACUAUUUUAAAGGGAUUUGGAGGGAGUAUAAACAGGAAUAAAACUUGGAAGAGCAUUUUGGCAAUAUCUGAAAAGGGUGAAAAUUCACAUACCUUGUGACCUGUUAACUCUGUUUUUAGGUAUAACCAACAGCAGUGUUUCCCAAGGUAUGGUACAGGCCCAACUUUAUCAGGAUCCCUUUAAAAAAAUGCUUUAGCAGUUGCUAUUCAAAUUGGCGGCGGGGCUGAUGGUUGUGCUGAGACUCGUCACUGCCCAGGCUGCUGGGCCUGAGUGUUGCCUUCACCGCCAUGGACACCACUGGGUGCUGACAGACCUAUGGAGAGUCUGGGUGUGCCUCUUGGGCCUUAUCGGGCCACCAAGCUGGAAUACACUUCAGGCAGGCAUGUGUUAUUAGUCCUACUUUACCAGUGUGGACACUGAGGCUCACAGACGUUAGAUGCCUUCUAAAGUCACAUCUACAGCAAGUGGCAGAGCUAGAAUUCAGAUCUUCCUGGUAUGGCAAUCUUAAAUGGAUUCUGCUACUUAUGGAAUGAAGUUACCACAUCUUUUCGAGCAUGAAUGCCUCUAAGAAAACAUAGGCAACACUUAAAAAAAUAUGGCAAUUGUUUCACAGCAGGAGAAGCAGUGGAUUGACUUUAUGACCUAUUAAGAAAUAAUAGCAAUUGUAGUCCCAAAGUUACAAGGCAACAGACUAUCCAACUGUUGAGGAUAUUUCUUAAGAAUCAUGUAAUUGAAAAUAUCAAAGGCAGGUGGGGAUCAGAAAAUGUUGAUGAUAAUAACCAGCUCUUCAGAUUUCCUGCUACUUCGCCACUUAAAACUCUACCAUGAAGGCAUCCAGAAUUGAGAAAAAACAACAUAGAGAACUUUUCCAAAGAUAAAGAUAGUAUUUUUAAAUGAUGAGACUGAUCUCGUAGAACUCCUAAAAAGCAUGGAAUACAUUUAUCUCAGGAAAACACUGAGAAAAUAAAGCAUGAAAUAAUCAAUGAAGAUCAAGAAAAUGCAGUUGGUAAUAGAGAACUAAGCCAGGAAGAUGUUGAAGAAAUUUCGAGAUAUGUUGUUCUGAUCUACCUGCAAACCAUUUUAGCUGUGCCAUCCCUAGAAGAAGUCAUAAAUCCAAAACAAGUAAUUCCCCAAUAUACAAUGUACAACAUGGCCAAUACAAGUAAACAUGGGGUAGUCAUACUACAAAACAAAUCAGAUGACCUCCCUCACUGGGGAUUAUCUGUCAGGAGGCCUGGCAGAUUGGCCAAGAACUCAUGAUAUGAAUAAUUCAACUUACAUUGGAUUUGAACAAGAUGUAUUCAGAACAAUCACAGAUUAUUUUCUAGAUCUCCCUGAACCUCUACUUACUUUUGAAUAUUACAGAUUAUCUGUGAACAUUUUGGUUAUUUGUGGCUAUGUCAUAGUUUCAGAUAGAUCCAGUGGGAUACAUAGAAUCCAAGAUGAUCCAGUCUUAAAAAUUCCUUCACUUAAACAAUUUGAAUUCCUUCAGAUCAACUGAGUACCUUCUUCUCAGUCUACUUCAUAGAGAAAAAAGAAGAAUCAGAUUAUUCUGAGAGACUACAGAUAAGCAAUCCAGGAUUUCAAGAAAGAUGUGCUAAGAAAAUGCAGCUAGUUAAUUUAAGAAACAGAAGAGUGAGUGCUAAUGACAUAAUGGGAGGAAGUUGUCAUAAUUUAAUAGGGUUAAGUGGUAUGCAUGAUCUAUCCUUUAACAGCAAACCAAGCUGUUGUUCUUUGGAAGGUAUUGUAGAUGUGUCAGGGAAUUCAAGUAAAGAGGCAUCCAGUGUGUUUCAUCUAUCUUUUCCAAACAGAAGGACAAAAUAAUAAACUGUUUUUAGAGUCUAAGCCCAAAGAGGAAUUCCUGUUGAAUCUUCAUUCAGAGAAAAAUACUCAAAAGCCAUUCUGUGCUGGUUUUAAGAGAACCACUACUUUGACUGCUCAAGACCAAGAGAACUUGUGUAAUGGGAAAUGCAAGUCAAAACAGCUUUGUAGGUCUCAGAAGCAGUACAAGAAGGAAUAGUUAUAUCAAUACACCAGUGGCUGAAAUUAUCAUGAAACCAAAUGUUGGACAAGGCAGCACAAGUGUGCAAACAGCUAUGGAAAGUGAACUCAGUCUAGUGCCACAAUCAAUAAAAGACUCUGCAAAAGUUCAAUAGAAUUUUCAGAAAAUUCUUUACUUCCAGCUUCUUCUGUGUUGACUGGCACACAGAGUUUCCUGCAACCUCAAUUAGAGAGGGUUGCCAUCGAUGCUGUACAGUUAUGUUGUUUGUUACUUCCCCCACCAAAUUGUAGAAAGCUUCAACUUUUAAUGCAUAUGAUUUCCCAAAUGAGUCAAAAUGUUGAUAUGCCCAAACUUCAUGAUGCAUUGGGCACGAGAUCACUGAGGAUACAUACCUUUUCUUGGUGUGUGCUAUGCUGUGCUGAAGAAGUGGAUCUUGAUGAGCUUCUUGCUGGAAGAUUAGUUUCUUUCUUAACAGAUCAUCAUCAGGAAAGUCUUCAAGUACCCUCUUACAGACUGCAGCGGAAAAACAUCUUGACUACUUACUUAAGAAAGGGACAUAUUGAAAAUCCUGGAGAUGGACUGUUUGUUUCUUUGCCAACUUACUCAUACUGUAAGCAGAUUAGUGCUCGGGACUUUGAUGAGCAAAAAGUUUCUACCUCUCAAGCUGCAAUUGCAGAACUUUUAGAAAAUAUUAUUAAAGACAAGAGUUUACCUCUAGAGGAGAAAAGAAAAAAGCUAAAACAGUUUCAGAAUGAAUAUCCCUUGAUAUAUCAGAAAAGAUUUCCAACCACGGAGAGUGAAACAGCACUUUUUGGUGACGAACCUACAAUCAAGCAACCAAUGCUGAUUUUAAGAAAACCAAAGUUCCGUAGUCUAAGGUACUAACUGAAUUAAAAAUCAUGUAAUAGUUGUGGAACUUUUAUAAAUGAAACCAUAUCUGAGAAUGUAGCUAAUGGAAAGGAAGUCUGUUAUUAAUAAAGUAUUUCUAAAUAAACACAUUAUGUAAGGAAGUACCAAAAUCGUUGUUUAUCAAUGUGAGACUCCUAGGAAACUAACUAGAUCUCAACUGAGAGCACAUAACAAUAGGUGAUACCAAAUACUUUUUGUUUUUACCACAGCUAUCCAGUAAGGCUAUCAUGAUGUGUACUAAAAUUUUAUUUACUUGAAUUUUGAAACCUGAGCUGUGUUCAUCAAGAUUAAACUGUAAUUCUGUUUUUAAAAGAAAAUUUAUCUGCAUAUGUGCAAGUUCUGAGAUAUUAGCUAAUGAAUUGGUUAUUUGGGGUUACUUCUUUGUUUCUAAGUAUAAGAAUGUGAAGAAUAUUUGAAAACUCAAUGAAAUAAUUCUCAGCUGCCAAAUGUUGCAC